AGUCGAGAAUCUUUCACAAUGGGGGCAACCCUGAUGGAGCGACGCCGCGUGGAGGAUAAGGUCUUCGGAUUGUAAACUCCUGUCAUGCGAGAGCAAUGUGCGCAGGCUAAUACCCUGCAAAACUGAUAGUAUCGCAAGAGGAAGAGACGGCUAACUCUGUGCCAGCAGCCGCGGUAAUACAGAGGUCUCAAGCGUUGUUCGGAAUCACUGGGCGUAAAGGGUGCGUAGGUGGCGUGGUAAGUCAGAUGUGAAAGCCCGGGGCUCACCCUCGGAACUGCAUCCGAUACUGCAAUGCUAGAGAAAUGGAGAGGAGUCUAGAAUUCACAGUGUAGCAGUGAAAUGCGUAGAUAUUGUGAGGAAUACCAAAGGCGAAGGCAGGACUCUGGACAUUUUCUGACACUGAGGCACGAAGGCUAGGGGAGCGAA
rnacentral:rRNA from 1 species